UCCCUGGUGGCUUAGUGGUAAAGAAUCCACCUGCCAGAGUGGAAGAUCCAGGUUCGAUUUCUGAUCUGGGAG
rnacentral:tRNA from 1 species